AAGACUAUAAUUUCAGGGAUCUUUGUUAUAGUUGGUUACUAGAGAAGUUUCUCUGACUGUGCAGAGCUCUGGAAACCACAGGGAGGAGGUGCAGCCUUCUCUCCUGAGCAGGAAGCCAGUAGCUCUUGGUGGUGUUUGGCUACAACUGCCAUUUGCCAUUGCUGAUGGUUCUUCCUUUGGGAGAGUAAGAGGGAGAGGACCUGGUCUGAGUGGU